rnacentral:rRNA from 1 species
UACGUAGGGGGCAAGCGUUACCCGGAUUUAUUGGGCGUAACGCGCGUGUAGGCGGCUUUGCCAGUCGGGUGUGAAAGCCCUCAGCUCAACUGAGGAAGUGCGCCCGAAACUGCAGAGCUUGAGUGCCGGAGAGGGUGGCGGAAUUCCCCAAGUAGAGGUGAAAUUCGUAGAUAUGGGGAGGAACACCGGUGGCGAAGGCGGCCACCUGGACGGUAACUGACGCUGAGACGCGAAAGCGUGGGGAGCAAACAGG